rnacentral:rRNA from 1 species
AAGAUGGCGUAWGCUAUCGCUUUUGGAUGGACCCGCGGCGUAUAGCUAKUUGGUGAGGUAAUGGCUCACCAAGGCRAUGAUACGUAGCCKAACUGAGAGGUUGAUCGSMCACAUUGGGACUGAGACACGGCCCAAACUCCUACGGGAGGCAGCAGUAGGGAAUCUUCCACAAUGGACGCAAGUCUGAUGGAGCAACGCCGCGUGAGUGAAGAAGGCUUUCGGGUCGUAAAACUCUGUUGUUGGAGAAGAAUGGUCGGCAGAGUAACUGUUGUCGGCGUGACGGUAUCCAACCAGAAAGCCACGGCUAACUACGUGCCAGCAGCCGCGGUAAUACGUAGGUGGCAAGCGUUAUCCGGAUUUAUUGGGCGUAAAGCGAGCGCAGGCGGUUUUUUAAGUCUGAUGUGAAAGCCCUCGGCUUAACCGAGGAAGCGCAUCGGAAACUGGGAAACUUGAGUGCAGAAGAGGACAGUGGAACUCCAUGUGUAGCGGUGAAAUGCGUAGAUAUAUGGAAGAACACCAGUGGCGAAGGCGGCUGUCUGGUCUGUAACUGACGCUGAGGCUCGAAAGCAUGGGUAGCGAACAGGAUUAGAUACCCUGGUAGUCCAUGCCGUAAACGAUGAAUGCUAGGUGUUGGAGGGUUUCCGCCCUUCAGUGCCGCAGCUAACGCAUUAAGCAUUCCGCCUGGGGAGUACGACCGCAAGGUUGAAACUCAAAGGAAUUGACGGGGGCCCGCACAAGCGGUGGAGCAUGUGGUUUAAUUCGAAGC